rnacentral:rRNA from 1 species
GACAGAGGGUGCAAACGUUGUUCGGAAUUACUGGGCAUAAAGAGCACGUAGGUGGUCUGCUAAGUCGUGUGUGAAAUCCCCCGGCUCAACCGGGGAAUAGCGCUCGAUACUGGCAGGCUCGAGGUGGGUGAGGGGUGAGCGGAACUCCAGGUGGAGCGGUGAAAAUGCGUAGAUAUCGUGGAGGAACACCGUGGCGAAGGC